rnacentral:rRNA from 1 species
GGGCCCGCACAAGCGGUGGAGUAUGUGGUUUAAUUCGAUGCAACGCGAAGAACCUUACCUAGGCUUGACAUGUAUUGCUAAUCUACAGAGAUGUAGUGACUCUUCGGAGACCUUACACAGGUGCUGCAUGGCCGUCGUCAGCUCGUGUCGUGAGAUGUUUGGUUAAGUCCAGCAACGAGCGCAACCCCUAUGUUUAGUUACUAACAUUUAGUUGGGCACUCUAGAGAGACUGCCGGUGAUAAACCGGAGGAAGGUGUGGAUGACGUCAAGUCAUCAUGCCCCUUACAUCCUGGGCUACACACGUACUACAAUGCUACGGACAAAGGGCUGCAAGUUCGCGAGGACAAGCAAAUCCCAUAAACCGUGGCUCAGUUCAGAUCGUAGGCUGCAACUCGCCUACGUGAAGGCGGAAUCGCUAGUAAUCG